GUAAGAGGUUCGCAGUAUAUGGCACAGCAGCAAUUGUAAAAUUUUGCAAUCCGCUCCCACCCAUUAUAUGGGCAAAGCCACCAUGAGGCACUCUGGAACUGCCAGUAACAAACUGUAAUAGUAGUACUCUCUCUUCCUGAGUUAAUUCUUCCACAACAUCCCAGAACCACUGGAUUACUUGGUCUCCUCUCUCAUAGCCACUGGUAUAUUCUGUAUUUUUUAACCAAUCAUUCACAUCAAUUUCCGGCAUACCAGACAACAAAAGCUCCAGUUCAUAUUCAUCAAAAAGUUGAAUCAAAGAUGGUGGAAUGAACAUAUGGAAGCCUUGUAAAAAGGCAUUUAUCUGAGGUUGAAUGGCUCUUGUCAUUCUGAGUUCAGUGACAAGCUGGACAUACUCAGCCUUGUUUUCCUGUGUAACAAGUAUACUCGCAC
rnacentral:lncRNA from 1 species